rnacentral:rRNA from 1 species
ACUGCUCAGUAACACGUCGGUAACCUACCCUCGGGAGGGGGAUAACCCCGGGAAACUGGGGCUAAUUCCCCAUAGGCCUGAGGUACUGGAAGGUCCUCAGGCCGAAAGGGACUUAUGUCCGCCCGAGGAUGGGCCGGCGGCCGAUUAGGUAGUUGGUGGGGUAAUGGCCCACCAAGCCGAAGAUCGGUACGGGCUGUGAGAGCAGGAGCCCGGAGAUGGACACUGAGACACGGGUCCAGGCCCUACGGGGCGCAGCAGGCGCGAAACCUCCGCAAUGCGGGAAACCGCGACGGGGGGACCCCGAGUGCCGUGGCAACGCCACGGCUUUUCCGGAGUGUAAAAAGCUCCGGGAAUAAGGGCUGGGCAAGGCCGGUGGCAGCCGCCGCGGUAAUACCGGCGGCCCGAGUGGUGGCCGCUAUUAUUGGGCCUAAAGCGUCCGUAGCCGGGCCCGUAAGUCCCUGGCGAAAUCCCACGGCUCAACCGUGGGGCUUGCUGGGGAUACUGCGGGUCUUGGGACCGGGAGAGGCGGGGGGUACCCCUGGGGUAGGGGUGAAAUCCUAUAAUCCCAGGGGGACCGCCAGUGGCGAAGGCGCCCCGCUGGAACGGGUCCGACGGUGAGGGACGAAGGCCAGGGGAGCAAACCGGAUUAGAUACCCGGGUAGUCCUGGCUGUAAAGGAUGCGGGCUAGGUGUCGGGUGAGCCUCGAGCUCGCCCGGUGCCGUAGGGAAGCCGUUAAGCCCGCCGCCUGGGGAGUACGGCCGCAAGGCUGAAACUUAAAGGAAUUGGCGGGGGAG